UCCCAGGUGGCUCAGUGGUAAAGAAUCUGCCUGCCAAUGCAGGAGAUGCAGGUUCGAUCCCUGCAUUAGGAA
rnacentral:tRNA from 1 species